rnacentral:rRNA from 1 species
GUAGUUAGCCGUGGCUUCCUCCUCAGGUACCGUCAUUAUCGUCCCUGAAGACAGAGCUUUACAACCCGAAGGCCGUCAUCACUCACGCGGCGUUGCUGCAUCAGGGUUUCCCCCAUUGUGCAAUAUUCCCCACUGCUGCCUCCCGUAGGAGUCUGGACCGUGUCUCAGUUCCAGUGUGGCCGAUCAGCCUCUCAGCUCGGCUACCCAUCGCUGACUUGGUGGGCCGUUACCCCGCCAACUAUCUAAUGGGACGCGAACCCCUCCAAUUGCGGAUUGCUCCUUUGACCUCAUCCCGAUGCCGGGUCGUGGUCUUAUGCGGUAUUAGCACUUGUUUCCAGGUGUUAUCCCCCUCAACUGGUCAGGUUGUUCACGCGUUACUCACCCGUUCGCCACUAAGCUAUAUCCGAAAACAUAGCUCCGUUCGACUUGCAUGUGUUAGGCACGCCGCCAGCGUUCGUCCUGAGCCAGGAUCAAACUCUGA